rnacentral:rRNA from 1 species
AUUGAACGCUGGCGGCAGGCCUAACACAUGCAAGUCGAGCGGCAGCGGGACCUUCGGGUUGCCGGCGAGCGGCGGACGGGUGAGUAAUGCCUAGGAAUCUGCCUGUUAGUGGGGGAUAACGCGGGGAAACUCGCGCUAAUACCGCAUACGUCCUACGGGAGAAAGCGGGGGCUCUUCGGACCUCGCGCUAACAGAUGAGCCUAGGUCGGAUUAGCUAGUUGGUGGGGUAAUGGCUCACCAAGGCGACGAUCCGUAACUGGUCUGAGAGGAUGAUCAGUCACACUGGAACUGAGACACGGUCCAGACUCCUACGGGAGGCAGCAGUGGGGAAUAUUGGACAAUGGGCGAAAGCCUGAUCCAGCCAUGCCGCGUGUGUGAAGAAGGUCUUCGGAUUGUAAAGCACUUUAAGUCGGGAGGAAGGGCUGUAGGUUAAUACCCUGCGGUUUUGACGUUACCGACAGAAUAAGCACCGGCUAACCUCGUGCCAGCAGCCGCCGCCGUAA